UACGGGGGGGCAAGCGUUGUUCGGAAUUACUGGGCGUAAAGGGCUCGUAGGCGGCCAACUAAGUCAGACGUGAAAUCCCUCGGCUUAACCGGGGAACGGCCUCUGAUACUGGCUGGCUGGAGUUCGGGAGAGGUGAGUGGAACUGCGAGUGUAGAGGUGAAAUUCGUAGAUAUUCGCAAGAACACCAGUGGCGAAGGCGGCUCACUGGCCCGGUACUGACGCUGAGGUGCGAAAGCGUGGGGAGCAAACAGGG
rnacentral:rRNA from 1 species